GUGGGCUAUGGAGACAUGUACCCAAUGACCAUUGGGGGCAAGAUUGUGGGGUCGUUGUGCGCCAUUGCCGGCGUGCUGACCAUCGCCCUUCCUGUGCCUGUCAUUGUCUCCAAC